ACCUCGGACAGCGAGGAAUAUAUGGAAGAGGGGGGGGUGGACUUUAAGGCCCCCCGCCUGAAGAGGAAGACGAGGGCCAACAGGGGAGGCUCUCGGGCAAAAAGAGGGGGGCGCAGAGGAAAGGUGGGAGGUGUGGAGUCAGAGUCCUCUUCAGGGUGGGCCUCUGAAGACAGCGUCUCCUCAGGGGGGACGGUCACCAGCAGGCACGGGGUGGGGCAGAUGAAAGCGUUCCUGCAGACCACCAAGAACCAGAGAGGAGUGGAGCUGGAGGACUACUUCUCCGACUUGGAGAAGUUUGCGCGCUCCGUUCGACAUGGCUGCACGAAAAAGGGUGGGGCAGACUACACCCAGCAGGAGGUUUUCCGACUAAGGAAGAUCAACCUCAAGAUCACCAGGGAUGGAGGAAAUGGGGCUGAGUGAGGCGUCUGACCGGCGGAGGAGGAUCCUGAGCAAGAAGACGGGCAAAUGAGAUGAAAUGAUUGUAAUUGUUUUUUUUAUAUAAAAUAAAGGUUUUUCAAAAAUCAAAAAUCUCUGUAUCUAUGUGUCUCUAUCUCUAUCUCUGUCUGUCUAUCUCUAUCUAUGUGUCUCUAUCGCUCUCUCUGUCUGUCUGUCUCUGUUUCUCUCCCCCCCUCUCUCUCUGUGUCUCUCUCUCUCUGUGAUGCUUACCUGCUGCAGAGUGACGUUCCGCAGCGGAAAGACCUCCCUUUCUUUAGAGAUCUGUUUUAUCGUGGACAGCUAGAGAAGAUGGAUUUGUGGGUUAAUUCACAUUUUAUACCAUUAUCCACAAAUUCCUACAAUUUGAUGUAAUGUAAACUUCACUUACUUCGAUCACUUCCCCCUCCACGGUCAGAAACCCCUUGGCGUUCCUGCAGGUGCUGAGGGGCGUCAGUGGUGAGAGUGGACGGAUGAGGGCCUCCGCCUGCUCUUUUAAUUCUUCGGAUAGUGCUAUAGGAGCACUUCUAAAGAACAUAGUGUCCUUAUUAACCACUAUAAUAUAGGGUGGAGAGUUCCCUCUCAGGGAAUGCCCCUUUAUAAAAUAAUGGCCACCCUCUUUAAAUUUCCCCCCGAACUCUUCGUAGGAAGCCAGUUUUCCCACUGACUCCCCAUCUGAGACUGCGGCCAGAAUAUUUUUUUUGGUUGUAACUGGCCUUGCACCUGCGGGAUCAAAGUCCCAGACCACCACCUUGCUCUGCUCCACCAUCCCCACGACACACAGGUGGAUCGGUGGGGGUCGGAAAUAAGGGGUGGGGGGCUUUGUCCACAAGAGUGCAUGUAACGCCAUUCUGAAAUAAUACAAUAAACACAAAGUAAGGAUAAAUUAAAGAAUAGGACAGUAUUAAAAAAGGCUUACGCUUCUCUUAUAUAUUAUCUUUAGCAUGUUUUUAUUAAUAAUCCAUUGAGCUUUCUGACUGAAUUCCACUUUGUGCUUGGUGUGACAUUGAUUGAUUGUUGCAGAAAUAGACAUGAUUUUCUUUUGCGUUCGACUUCUGAAUUUCCAAGUGCCCCCUGAACGCCUCAGUGAACACUACAACUGAACUGCGCAUGCGCACCCUGCCGUCCUGCCGUCUUCUCUGGUAAGUAAUUGUGAGCCGCUAACGGAGAAUGAUUUAAUCGAUAUAAAUACAAUAUAAGGUUUUAAAAAGCCGUUGAGGUUAGUUGGUAACUCAUAGAGUUUAUAACUACAUGGAUGAAAGUGAAAUAUUACCCAUGUAUUGCAUAUGCUGACGCUUGCUUAACACUAGCAUAGCAGCUAUUGUGACUUUAGCAUGUUAAGUUAACGUUACAUAUGAGUUGGGGGUAUGCCACGUUUUUAGUUAACGUUAACUGACGCGGUAGUUAGCUAACUAAGUCACCGGUUAGCUAGCUAACGUUACUAUUAUCAGUUAACGUGGCUAAAGUCAGUGCUAGCCGAUAUGCUAGUGUUAGCUGACCGUUAACGUCAUGACGCCAUGUUCACACCCAACGUGGCGCAAAUUUCUUGUGCUAUUGUUAAAGCGUAACCUACAACAUGACGCGUUUAUAGGCUGCUCUUGUUCUUACUAUAUUGUAGCUUCUUUGCUCACAUAGAGCUCUAUGAGACAUGUUGGUACAGAACGAAUUAAACUAUGUGCAUACCACUAUGGUGUAUAUAAUGACGCCGUACGAGUGUUGGUGGAGCUGCUACAAUGUUAGCUUAGGCUAGCACUGCUCCAUCCAGGCUCCAUUCAGAAAACGAGCAUUUUAAAGUUCGGUGCUCUUCCGUCUUGCCGACAGAAGUAACAAAACAUGAACAAAAAAAAUCGACAUAAUUCUGUUAUUUCGCUUGUUAUUCGUUUAUUGCAAUUAAGUAAAAUCUCUUUAUUCUGGGCUCUUACUGCUGCACUGUAACCAGUCGCCAUGAUCUAUACCGUGCUUACGUGUGAUAGUGCAGCUCGAUCGUCUACGGAUGUCGUUACCAUCCGUAAAGACCUGGCAAAUGUGGGCCUUCCACAUCACGUAAAACGCAGAAAUUUAGUUAAUUUGUCCAUAGCUGAUCCCCCUCCAGUGCGUCAUGACGCCAAAACCCACAAAUAUUCCCACAGAGAAUAUCCAGCUCCUCCGGUCAUGUUAUGUAGUUACAGGAAGGAGUUACACACCAAUGUCAUGCCUUUUAAACCGCCAACACAUUAGUAAAAACGUCAGUAGGAACAAGCUAAUUUCUAACAUGAAUACUGUUAAUGCUCCUUAGGUCGUUUACCAGCAGUUUAAGCUGUUACCAGCAUGUAGUAACAUUUAUGGCAAGAAUAGUGGUAUAUAUGAUGAGCAAGAGGCUAGAUAUUAUUAUAAUUAUUAUUAUGAUGUAUAUUGCAUUUGAAAUCCUGGCUUGUUUCUUUUAACCAGAGGCUACACACACACAAACUAAUGAAGACUUAAACAAUGCAUGACAACGGUUGAGUUAAUUCUUGAUUUCCCAUAUGAUGCUGGUAGUAAUAAAGAGUAGUAUUCUACCUCUGUAAUGUAUGUAUUGAAUAGAUAAUAUAUUGAAUAGACAGGGUUUUUUUUUGUGUGUUUGGCUUGAAGCUUUAACCCGCUUACUGUCUUUUUGUCAUAUUGUUUCCUCUGGCAGACAACAGAACAUCGAUCCAUAUCUCCAUUUUGGUUGGUAAGUAUAGAAAUGCUGUCAUUAAAUUGAAAACAGACCACAGAACUUCAAUGUGAAUCACUGUUUAGCAUAUGUAGAUCUUUUUUGUUAAAAAAAAAUAUGAGUUUCAAUAUGUAUUUCUUUCUAUUGUGGAUGUAUUGUUUUAGCCAGAAAUCCGAUCUGUUCAAUCAGAAAACAUUAACAUUUAAAAAGCUUGCAUAAUCUGUAACUAAUAAUUGAUGGUGGCAGCGUUAAUGUUGUGUCCUAUGCUAUAGAACCAGCUGCAUUUCUUAAAGUCCUUGACAGGCAAUAACACAUAUUGAAGGGAUACGAUUGUAUGUUGUUGACAACAGUCGGUAUCCCCACAGUCACACACACACUUCUAUGUCCAUUUUAAAUUAUACAUUGAUAAUAAAUAAGGAACCUGAAAGUACUUAAAAUGAGCUUUAGGUUGGUUUUCUGAAGUGAAUUGAAAAUGUCUUUUUCUCUCUUUUCAUCCCUCACCUCCUUCCUCUCCUGCAGGCUGACUCUGAAGUGUAAGUUCAUACACAUUGUUAAUGUUAAUGCUAUAAGUAAAUUGAUAUUACAUUGGCUUUUAAAUGUCCUCCCAUCAUAAUAAUCUGUCUUAUCUGUACGUAACAAUAAUCACCCGACCGUAAGAACAGUUCUGGAGUCAAAUGGGAUGUGAUGCACUGGUUUUCUGAGAAGAAUGUAAAUGUAAUGUAUUUCUCUCCCGACUCUUCUUGUUUCCUCUCUGUCUUUAACUACAGACCAUCACUGCUGGUGACUUCACAGUAAGUUCACACAUGAGUGAAAACUGAAUACACUUUGUUAAAACACAUGGUGAAGUUGUUAUGAAAAACUCCAAGCCGCACCUCCUGUGUGAGUCUGAGUCUCUUUUCGAGAUUCCUGUCCAGGAAUCCCCUUAUUAACAAAAGGCUUUUAUUCUGAAAUAGUUUCAGAACAGUGAACACAAGAAGGCAGUGACUCUCACGGCUCCAUGAAUUCAGAGUAUCAUCUUUUAAUUGUGGAUUGUUAACAUCUUAUGAAUAAACUCCAAUGCUUCUUAAACAUUUUAUAUUUAAAAUAAAUAAAACAUUUUAUAUUUAAAAUAAAUAAGAUGAUUUAUAUAAACAAUACUUCAGAAUAAAAUGAAAACUGGUAAUCAUGAAAGGCAAACCCUGUAAAAGGAGAGGUGGCAGCAGCGACGCUGUGAAACAACUUGGGAGAGAGACGCAAGCUGUGAGACAUCUGAACCAGUCUACUCAAUGAUCCAUUUAUGGUCAACAUUGUUUUUCAUAUAAAUAAGUGAGGUAUUAUCGAGGUAGAAUGGUUGAUAUUCUGGUCAUUUAGAUGUUCCUUAAAUUGAUCUUCAAACUGCUGUCUAAAGUGUCUUUGUAUUGUGUCUUCCAGGUGUCCUGCUGUGCAGCAUCUCUCCUCUAUCACGUUGGCUCUCUAUCUCUCCUAUACCUUGUAUCCACUCUGUCUACAAGUUGGCUCUCUAUCUAUCCUGUACCUUGUAUCCACUCUGUCUACAAGUUGGCUCUCUAUCUAUCCUGUCACAUCUACCGCUCUGUCUUUUGCAUAUGGCAACUCACACUUUGUGUCCCCCUCUAUCCCACUCUCACGUUGGUAAUCUUUGGCAAUGGAAUGGAACAAACUCUGGAAACCUUUCUCUGAACUGAACUGAAUUUUGGACUAAGCUCUGUUGGCUCGACUUGGGUUACUGGUACCUAAUCUAUCUGACUUGAAUACUCUGAGAGACUCUCUUCUCUCACCCUCACCUCUUACCUCUCCUAUCUACAACUUAUACACUUAUCUCUAGAACACUAUUGCUGUUUUUGCAACUCGGACAAAGCAUUUAUACUAUUUCCGAGACUUUUUCCCAACACAUUGGUUAAACAAAACUGAAAAGUUAAUUCAGAAACUGAAAGAAACCACACAUAACCUACAUAUUUUGUUGUAAUUGAUAAAAAGUACCUUUUAUCAUUUAGAAUUGAAUGGUACAUUUUCAAAUAUAUAUUUCGAGUAAAUCAUUACAUUAACAUAAUUCAAGAAAGUUGCUCCCUUGUUACUUUACAUAAAAACAAUUGUAGUAAAAGUCUAUAUCAUAUAAAAGGAAUAGUUAAUUUCCUGAUCGUUGUUGCUUUGGAGCUCCGCUGGUUUGUACCCAAAGCUUUGUUUUGGUAGCAGUACUCUAGAAAUCUGUAAUAACAAUUUCCUGUAUAAACGUACAUUAUUUCAAACAUUCAGUGUAUUUGUGUGUUUAGUUGUUUCACUUUGUUCAUACUGAAAUAAAACAAAGCCAUCUAUAAGGAGGAAGUGGAUUCAUUGGGAGUUGCUGCCUUCUGUCUGCAGGCCCGACAUUCAGAAGCUUUCAUCCAUCAUCACGUUGCCACGACAACGCUUCCUGAUUUAAUAUAAACCCAAGUAUUAUAAGUUGUUCUCUUGGUGUUCUUGAUCAGUAAAAGCAGACAAAGGUUUAAUCUAUUUUCACAUUCUGCUUUGUUAAGUUACUUUUACCAUUAAUAUUGUGUUUAGUACCUUGGUUGUGUACAAUACAAGUAAAACAAUAACAUUUGUGGUUUUGAAACACAACAAUGCCCAGAAAGAGUAAGAGGUCACAAGCUCAGAGCCAGCGCUGGCAGCGGACCAAAGAGAAUCCCUGUGCAACAACGACUGAAGGAGCAGAAUGUGUUGGUCCUGAGAGCAGUGAAGAGGUAAAGAUGUCUGCAGAGUCUCAUGCUGGAAGUGUGAAACAGGGAGUUCCAAGUGAGUCACAGGUAUCGUAUGCAGACGCAGUAAAGAGUGGACGUCACAGUGAGGAUCCAUGUACAGCAGGACCUUCUAAUGUCAGGCAGGUAAACCUUAGAGGUCAAGGUGAUGAGUCAUGUGUACCACAGGUAUCAGAUACUGUAAAGAGAGGACAACCCAGUAAAGAACCAUGUGCAGCAGGACCUUCUAAUGCAGACUGUGUAGACCCUGGAGAUCAGCCUUCUGAACAACAUGUCCGUGCAUCCCACAGCCAGGCUUCUAUCAGAUACGGCAGAUCCAGAAAUCGGCAGUGCACCUGUAACUCACUGACCUUUCUUGCAUUCCUCCAUGAGAAUGAAAGCAUCACCAGAGCAGACCUGGACCAUGUUUUGGAUAAAGGUAACACGAUGUAUAGAGAAACCAGGAAACAAGUCACUAAUCACAUCUAUCUGACCACCGACGAGCUCACUGAUGAAGUUCCUGCACGCAGCGCUACACACCAUGCAGACAUGACUCAGCUUUCAAGGUACGGCACAUUAGGAGAACCUUUACCUGGAGCUGUGGACAGCUUUCUGGACCUGGAGUCAGGACUCAGCUGCUUGUUGUCAGAUGUGAAGUACGCUCUGCUGUUGAUGAGACUCUUGUGUAUCGCAGUGUUCAGAACCAAGUCGGGCAGAUACGGUUUCUUUGACCCACACUCCAGAACAGCCAGAGGUUUGCCCCUACCAGCCGGUUCACGCACACCAGGUACUGCUGUCAUGGUGACAUUCUCACGUCUCAGUGACAUGAUUGACAGGCUCAAGAAGUCCCACAGAAUGAUGGACACACAGUCCUCUUGUAACUAUGAGUUGAAACCUGUGGAGUUUUACAAUGUGAACACAGUCAACCUGAACGAUGGUCUCCCAAACACAGACUGCAGACCUACAGCUGUCCCUGUGGAUGAAUCAAACUCACCUACAGCCACUGAUGAGACCAGUUCACCUGAAACGACUCCUCACACUCCAGCUGUAAAUCAACCAGAGGUCUUCAUCACAACAUCAUCACAUGAUGCUCCUCACAAUGAAUCAGGAUCAACUAUUCAAGUGAUAAACCCUGUUCUCAGUGAUCCAUCUGACGACAUAUUGACAGCAGAGUCCAGUGACAUCAUCUUUACGUCAUCGGUGAGACGACAAGAGGUCAUAAACUCCAAUGAAACAGAACUGUCAAGUCAAUCCACUUUCCUUCCAUCACAUGAUGCUUCUCUCAAUGAACCAAGUAUUUCUUCCUCAGUAGAAAAUACUGUUGCCAGUGAUCUAUCUGAUGUUCUAUUACACGGAAUCUCAUGCAAACUAACAAAGUGUGAUAAAAACGAAAGGAGAAAAAUGAAAAGAAGACUGAUGAUCUCAGUGAAAACUCAACAGAGAAAAGAGAUUCAGAAAAGGAAGGAAAGGGAAAAAUAUGCUUCAAAUAAAGCAUAUAAAGCAGACAAGAUAUCUCAUGCAAAAAGCCAAUAUCAGAACAACCCUGAAUUUAGACAAAAGAAAAUAAAUAAUACAAGAGACAACGUUGACUUGAAGCAAAAACGGAAAGAGUACAUUUCCUCCCGGUACACAGAAAAUGCUGAUUUUAGACAGAAAAAAAAACACAUCUUUGUCACUCGUUACAGAAACAAUGCUGAAUUUAGAGAAAACAAAAGAAAAAUCUUGGUCUCUCGUUACAGAAAUAAUCCUGAUUUUAGAGAGAAACAAAAAGAAAUCUUGGUCUCUCGCUACAGAAAUAAUCCUGAUUUUAGAGAGAAACAAAAAGAAAUCU
ensembl:lncRNA